CCUCUUGCGAAACAGAUCUUUAGGCUCUAGCGGCUCACAUCCACGGUCCACCCACCCUAUCUCUGGCCACCGAAGCCCAUCCUCUCCCCCGCCGGCGAAACACUCCCACUGCCCCAGCCGAACACAGUCCCAAUCUCGACACCCAAAGGAGCACACCAACGCGAGAGGCCGGAUUGAGCCCAUCCCCUCCGCCAUGGUCAACGGCCCGCCGCCCAUGAUGGCACUGACGCCCCCCAAUUUCCCAUGCUAACGCGUGCGAGGCGGCGCCAUUGGAUCGAUGGCGCGCGUGCGCCCUAAUGGUAGGGCGGCGUGCAGGAGGUCCCCCUUCUCCUCUCUCCCCCUGCGCGCGCUGGAGCUUGAGCUGGGCGGGACGCUGAGCGGGAGUUCUUGCUGGCAGAGGAAGAAGACGUUCAGGUAGAAGGCGUGGACGUUGGGGAGUAGCUGUGUGGGAGGAGGGCGUCAACGGUGGGAUGGGUGCUGGCUGGCUGGUACUUGCUUUAUGAUAUGAAGAUAUGUAUGCUGCUGGUAGGUACUCGUGAACAUGGUGAAAAGGGAUCGGUGCUGCAGCGGUAGGCGUCUGGUGGCUAUGCAGUGGCAGCCGCUACUUAGAUACGUAGCCGGCAAUGGUGAGAAGACUUUGAUCUUGAUAUAUUAGAUGUAAGCCCCAUACACCAUAGGAGGACCGCCUUUUGGUGAUAUCAGCCGGAGAAGAGAUAGAGAGAAGCAAGUUACUGGUGUGGUUCAUUUGGGAAAUUCAGUACUUUGUUUAUACUGCUUUGCUUUAGGGGAUGAAGUAAAUAGAAGAAGAAAUUCCUGGGAUGGAUCUAUUGCCCGUUAUGCUGUCAUGAUGAUAAAAAAGAAGAAGAAGAUGAUUCUGAAUUACAUAAUAAUUCUGUAGGAUGAUAAAAAAGAAGAAGAAGAUGAUUCAGUUAUCAAGAGGAUGUCUGAACUCUGAACCUGAAGGACAGGAAAUAAAACAUGAGGAGGAUAAUGGAAGAGAAGAAGAAGCAGACAUUAAGAUAAUGAAAGAGAAUGAGUAGAUAAUGAGGAUGGUACUGAAAGAGAAGACGAGAUGCACCUUGGCUAAGUAAAGAGUUAGACCUGAAAUUGCCAAUAAAGGGAAUGAGGUCCCUUUCUCUAUAGAAUAUAGAAGGCAGCUUCGCAGAGGGGUCACUGACGAGCAAGAGAAAUAAGCCCUGGAGCAUGUUUCAAUGAAGACUACUGAUCUAGAAUUGCCGUAUGUUCAUGAACAAUUUUUUGUUGCUGAAAUAAGUCCUAGAGCAGGCUUCGGUGAGGACUACUGAUCUAGAAGCCAUAUGUUCAUGAACAAUUUUUUGUUGCUCUGACUGAACGGACUGUCUCUGUAAUUCUUGUCUGUUUGGGUGGUCCCCAGCUGCGACAAGAUGUCUUCUUGCUGAACAACGCCACAAUUGGAUAGUUGUAUGUUAUUUAGGAUUGCCUCUGUUGCAUACCACCUGGAGUUACAAGAGGUCCUGUACUAAUUUUGUGUAUGUAUCUGUUCUAUAUACACAUGAUUUCAAAGCAUCUUUUCCUAUA